GGGGCUGACAUGGAAUUGACAGCAAGCCGAGGUGGUAUGUAAGCAUGCAGAGCAGGGUGACAGUGCUCUAUAAUCCUCUGUCGCAAAACAAUAACUGGCGAAAACAAUUACGCUCUCGCCGCCUGACCGAAGUUUAGUAAGUCAAGGCAACAUCCCGUCACCAGGUGACGGGACGAGACGUCUCGCGGGCGGACGUUCCCCGUUCCAACCCGGUACCGAGGCGCACGCAAUUCGGGGAUAGCUUCCGGGAUGUCCCGGUCCGGAAGUAAAAUUCAGGGACUAAGGAAAGGUUUGGUAGCAUCGCGCCUGGCCUUUUCCGACAAUCAAGCGGUGCUAAGCAUGUAGAAAGCAUAUGGUCUCCUUGUCUGGACGCGGGUUCGAAUCCCGCCAGCUCCACUC
rnacentral:tmRNA from 1 species